GAAAGCUAGUUGUAUUAUUAGUUAAUGCAAGAUCGACUAGUCGACAAAGUUCUAGGUAGAAUAAUGAUGAUGACAAUUUUUUACUAUAUGUCUUGACCAAGUCUCGUGCCAGCAGUCGCGGUAAUACGUGGAAGACUAGUGUUAUUCAUCUUUAUUAGGUUUAAAGGGUACCUAGACGGUAUUUCUAGCCCAAAAUAGGGUACGGAUUUACUAGAGUUUUAUGUGAGGAGGGGAGUACUCGUAGAGUAGAGAUGAAAUUUUGUUAUACUAUGAGGUAACUGGUGGCGGCGAAAGCAACCUUCUAUGUAUAAACUGACGUUGAGGGACGAAGGCUUGGGUAGCAAAUAGGAUUAGAUACCCUAGUAGUCCAAGCAGACAAUUCUGAAUGCCAUAGAUUAGAUUAUUUUUGGUCUAUAAAUGAAAGUGUAAGCAUUCCACCUUAGGAGUAAUGUGGCAACACAGGAACUGAAAUCAUUAGACCGUUUCUGAAACCAGUAGUGAAGUAUGUUAUUUAAAUUGAUGGUCCACAAAAAACCUUACCACAACUUGAAUAUUUUUAAUUAAUACAAGCGUUGCACGGCUGUCUUCAGUUAAUGUCGUGAGAUUUUGGUUAACUCCAUUAAUUAACGUAAAACCCUUACUUU
rnacentral:rRNA from 1 species